rnacentral:rRNA from 1 species
UACAGAGGGUGCUAGCGUUGUUCGGAAUCAUUGGGCGUAAAGGGCGUGUAGGCGGUUUGUUAAGUCAUGUGUGAAAUCCCUCGGCUCAACCGGGGAACGACGCAUGAAACUGGCAAGCUAGAGUACCAAAGAGGGGGGUGGAAUUCCCGGUGUAGCGGUGAAAUGCGCAGAUAUCAGGAGGAACACCAAUGGCGAAGGCAGCUCACUGGGACGGUAUUGACGCUGAGACGCGAAAGCGUGGGGAGCAAACAGG